UAAAGCAGUACUUGUAGGUUCUUUGGAUGGUUUUAGGCUUGGAUGCAGCGUGUUGGCUUGUUUCCUGCCUCCUAGCAGUGCUCCACAGCCAAUUGAGAAGAUAAGGCCCCCAGUGCAGAAAGAAGUGUAAGGAGAAGGUGAUGAUGUCCUGCUUGACUUGAAGCAAUCCACUGUGGAGAGCCUCAAGAGGAGAGAAAGGUAUUGAGUCAGCUUUACCAUCGCAACGAUGGCAACGCCGCCGAUCAUCAUGCAUGUGGGCCAGAAGAG